rnacentral:rRNA from 1 species
GGAAUAUUGCACAAUGGGGGAAACCCUGAUGCAGCAACGCCGCGUGAGUGAAGAAGUCAUUCGUGAUGUAAAGCUCUAUCAGCAGGGAAGAAAGAAAUGACGGUACCUGAGUAAGAAGCCCCGGCUAACUACGUGCCAGCAGCCGCGGUAAUACGUAGGGGGCAAGCGUUAUCCGGAAUUACUGGGUGUAAAGGGAGCGUAGACGGUAAUGCAAGUCUGGAGUGAAAUGCAGGGGCUCAACCCCUGAACUGCUUUGGAAACUGUAUGACUGGAGUGCAGGAGAGGUAAGUGGAAUUCCUAGUGUAGCGGUGAAAUGCGUAGAUAUUAGGAGGAACACCAGUGGCGAAGGCGGCUUACUGGACUGUAACUGACGUUGAGGCUCGAAAGCGUGGGGAGCA